CCUGAGAAACCCAAAAGAUCGAAUGGGGAGAUUCAUCGUCAGCUCAUUUUGUAUAUAUGCAAGUUGUGAUAUGGGUUACUACUUGUAGUAUUGCCUAUACAUUCUUGUAUAUUUAAUUGCAGAGUGUUGGUCGGCGUGCACUUCUCCCCUAGUAGAACGUCGUGACCCGUUGAGUUUUAUUAGUUAGUCUACGGCCCAGGUGAUAGUUUUUAAUAAAUGGGGUCUACUCUAUUUAUUGAAAAUCCUUGGUGUUACCCGACUAACACUUGGCGGUAUUCGUACGGUAUUAAGCCGCAUAUAUUUAUAUGCGUCCUGUCCAUCACAAGCGAGAUUAGUUUUACUCGAUAGUACGGACCUAGUGCCGUCGUUGGUACUAAUCAGCUGUUAGUUGUAUGGAAUUCUAGGACUGGCUUUAUUCAA
rnacentral:rRNA from 1 species